AUUGAACGCUGGCGGAAUGCUUUAUACAUGCAAGUCGAGCGGCAGCGCGGGGCAACCUGGCGGCGAGCGGCGAACGGGUGAGUAAUACAUCGGAACGUACCCAGUUGUGGGGGAUAGCCCGGCGAAAGCCGGAUUAAUACCGCAUACGACCUGAGGGUGAAAGUGGGGGAUCGCAAGACCUCACGCAGUUGGAGCGGCCGAUGGCGGAUUAGCUAGUUGGUAGGGUAAAGGCCUACCAAGGCGACGAUCCGUAGCGGGUCUGAGAGGACGACCCGCCACACUGGAACUGAGACACGGUCCAGACUCCUACGGGAGGCAGCAGUGGGGAAUUUUGGACAAUGGGGGCAACCCUGAUCCAGCCAUUCCGCGUGAGUGAAGAAGGCCUUCGGGUUGUAAAGCUCUUUCGGCAGGAACGAAACGGUCUGUGCUAAUACCACGGGCUAAUGACGGUACCUGAAGAAGAAGCACCGGCUAACUACGUGCCAGCCGCCGCCGUAA
rnacentral:rRNA from 1 species